rnacentral:lncRNA from 1 species
ACGGCAUUGUUUUCUGAUUUGCCUUUUUUAUUACAGCUGAUAUUGGAUGGAUAGCUAGCAAAAAAACCACAAACAAACAAACAAAAAAAAAUCCAGCAGGGGAAGACCGGCCCAGCUGGUUCACGGUAUGGCAUUGGGAGCUGUAGGAGCCCAGCACAUCUCUUCCAGGCAAACACCACCCAGCAAGAAAAGGAAUUGGCUUGUGGCUCUCCUAGUACUUCAGAAGAUUCACAAUCCUGCAGGACUGUGGAGCAGGGGAAGGUGUCACAACAUCAGCCUGAAGCACCAAGUUCCUCCAGCAUGGGCUGCAGGGACCAUGGGUGUCAUGGCCCCACAAGGGGAUCUGCAGCUUUUCUGCAGUCAUCAACUGAUCGCCAUCAAAGCAGGGCAGCAUCAGAUUUCAGGAGGAAGAUGCAGUAGGCUGUUGCAGCUCAGGCGUGCUCCUUGCAAAGGGCAGUUUGAUGGAGGAAAUGAGGGAUGCCUUGUCAAAGGGCUGCCCUUUUUGGAGAGGAGCUCUGCUCUCUGA